rnacentral:rRNA from 1 species
GAUGAACGCUGGCGGCGUGCCUAAUACAUGCAAGUCGAGCGAACGGACGAGAAGCUUGCUUCUCUGAUGUUAGCGGCGGACGGGUGAGUAACACGUGGAUAACCUACCUAUAAGACUGGGAUAACUUCGGGAAACCGGAGCUAAUACCGGAUGAUAUUUUGAACCGCAUGGUUCAAAAGUGAAAGACGGUCUUGCUGUCACUUAUAGAUGGAUCCGCGCUGCAUUAGCUAGUUGGUAAGGUAAUGGCUUACCAAGGCAACGAUGCAUAGCCGACCUGAGAGGGUGAUCGGCCACACUGGAACUGAGACACGGUCCAGACUCCUACGGGAGGCAGCAGUAGGGAAUCUUCCGCAAUGGGCGAAAGCCUGACGGAGCAACGCCGCGUGAGUGAUGAAGGUCUUCGGAUCGUAAAACUCUGUUAUUAGGGAAGAACAUAUGUGUAAGUAACUGUGCACAGCUUGACGGUACCUAAUCAGAAAGCCACGGCUAACUACGUG